rnacentral:tRNA from 1 species
GCAAUAAUAGCUUAAAAAGAGCGUUGGUCUUGUAAGCCAAAAGUGAAAUAAAUAUUCUUAUUGCU